rnacentral:rRNA from 1 species
GUCUACGGCCAUACCACCCUGAACACGCCCGAUCUCGUCUGAUCUCGGAAGCUAAGCAGGGUCGGGCCUGGUUAGUACUUGGAUGGGAGAAAGACCUAAAAAAACA